rnacentral:rRNA from 1 species
AUACGGAGGAUGCGAGCGUUAUCCGGAUUUAUUGGGUUUAAAGGGUGCGCAGGCGGCCAUUUAAGUCAGCGGUUAAAUCGUGGGGCUCAACCCCAUUCUGCCGUUGAUACUGGGUGGCUUGAUUGCGGUCGAGGUUGGCGGAAUUCGUUGUGUAGCGGUGAAAUGCAUAGAUAUGACGAAGAACACCGAUUGCGUAGGCAGCUGACCAGACCGCAAAUGACGCUCAUGCACGAAAGUGCGGGGAUCGAACAGGAUUAGAUACCCUGGUAGUCCGCACAGUAAACGAUGAAUACUUGUUUUCGGCGAUAUAAUGUCGGAGGCAAAGCGAAAGCGAUAAGUAUUCCACCUGGGGAGUACGCCGGCAACGGUGAAACUUAAAUGAAUUGGCGGGG